GACGAACGCUGGCGGCGUGCUUAACACAUGCAAGUCGAACGGAAAGGCCCUGCUUUUGUUGGGUGCUCGAGUGGCGAACGGGUGAGUAACACGUGAGUAACCUGCCCUUGACUCUGGGAUAACUUCAGGAAACUGGGGCUAAUACCGGAUAGGAGCUCCUGCUGCAUGGUGGGGGUUGGAAAGUUUCGGCGGUUGGGGAUGGACUCGCGGCUUAUCAGCUUGUUGGUGGGGUAGUGGCUUACCAAGGCUUUGACGGGUAGCCGGCCUGAGAGGGUGACCGGCCACAUUGGGACUGAGAUACGGGCCAGACUCCUACGGGAGGCAGCAGUGGGGAAUAUUGCACAAUGGGCGGAAGCCUGAUGCAGCAACGCCGCGUGCGGGAUGACGGCCUUCGGGUUGUAAACCGCUUUCGCCUGUGACGAAGCGUGAGUGACGGUAAUGUGUAAAGAAGCACCGGCUAACUACGUG
rnacentral:rRNA from 1 species